rnacentral:piRNA from 1 species
UACUGGGAUUCAAGUUUUGCCUCACGAUG